UGAACGCUGGCGGCGUGCUUAACACAUGCAAGUCGAACGAAGCACUUUGAUCGAUUCUUCGGAUUGAAAUUUUAGNGACUGAGUGGCGGACGGGUGAGUAACGCGUGGGUAACCUGCCUCACACAGGGGGGAUAACAGUUGGAAACGGCUGCUAAUACCGCAUAAGCGCACAGUACCGCAUGGUACAGUGUGAAAAAACUCCGGUGGUGUGAGAUGGACCCGCGUCUGAUUAGCUAGUUGGCAGGGCAGCGGCCUACCAAGGCGACGAUCAGUAGCCGACCUGAGAGGGUGACCGGCCACAUUGGGACUGAGACACGGCCCAAACUCCUACGGGAGGCAGCAGUGGGGAAUAUUGCACAAUGGGGGAAACCCUGAUGCAGCGACGCCGCGUGAGCGAAGAAGUAUUUCGGUAUGUAAAGCUCUAUCAGCAGGGAAGAAGAAAUGACGGUACCUGACUAAGAAGCACCGGCUAAAUACGUG
rnacentral:rRNA from 1 species